rnacentral:misc_RNA from 1 species
GGAAGUAAAGUCGUAACAAGGUUUCCGUAGGUGAACCUGCGGAAGGAUCAUUAUUGUAUAACCGAGGUGCGAGGGCUGUCGCUGACCCGAAAGGUCGUGCACGCCCGAGUGCCCUCACACACAUCCAUCUCACCCCUGUGUGCACCACCGCGUGGGUCCCCCUUUGGCUUGUUCGGAGGGGGGCUUACGUUUUCACACAAACUUUGUAUGCAGUGUAGAAUGUAUCUUUUGUUUUUGCGAUCACGCAAUCAAUACAACUUUCAACAACGGAUCUCUUGGCUCUC